rnacentral:rRNA from 1 species
GACGAACGCUGGCGGCGUGCCUAACACAUGCAAGUCGAACGGAGAGGUUAUGAACAAGACUUCGGUCAAGUGAGUAAUUUUCUUAGUGGCGGACGGGUGAGUAACGCGUGAGCAAUCUGCCUCUCAGUGGGGGACAACAGUUGGAAACGACUGCUAAUACCGCAUAAUGUAUUCGGAAGGCAUCUUCUGAAUACCAAAGCUUUAUGUGCUGAGAGAUGGUCUCGCGUCUGAUUAGCUAGGUGGCGGGGUAACGGCCCACCAUGGCGACGAUCAGUAGCCGGUCUGAGAGGAUGAACGGCCACAUUGGGACUGAGACACGGCCCAGACUCCUACGGGAGGCAGCAGUGAGGGAUAUUGGUCAAUGGGGGAAACCCUGAACCAGCGACGCCGCGUGAGGGAAGACGGUUUUCGGAUUGUAAACCUCUGUCUUUGGGGACGAAUAAAUGACGGUACCCAAGGAGGAAGCUCCGGCUAACUACGUGCCAGCAGCCGCGGU